rnacentral:tRNA from 1 species
GGUCUGGUGGUCUAGUGGUAUGAUUCUCGCUUAGGGUACACCCUGAAGCAAAUAGCUUGGCUUGCGAGAGGUCCCGGGUUCAAUCCCCGGCCAGACCC